rnacentral:tRNA from 1 species
AAACAGAAAGUGAGAAAUUUACAUGUGGUUUCGGCCCACCAUUUGGCGGUGCAAGUCCUCCUCUGUUAA